GAUCCUGGCUCAGGACGAACGCUGGCGGCGUGCCUAAUACAUGCAAGUCGAGCGGACAGAAGGGAGCUUGCUCCCGGAUGUUAGCGGCGGACGGGUGAGUAACACGUGGGUAACCUGCCUGUAAGACUGGGAUAACUCCGGGAAACCGGAGCUAAUACCGGAUAGUUCCUUGAACCGCAUGGUUCAAGGAUGAAAGACGGUUUCGGCUGUCACUUACAGAUGGACCCGCGGCGCAUUAGCUAGUUGGUGAGGUAACGGCUCACCAAGGCGACGAUGCGUAGCCGACCUGAGAGGGUGAUCGGCCACACUGGGACUGAGACACGGCCCAGACUCCUACGGGAGGCAGCAGUAGGGAAUCUUCCGCAAUGGACGAAAGUCUGACGGAGCAACGCCGCGUGAGUGAUGAAGGUUUUCGGAUCGUAAAGCUCUGUUGUUAGGGAAGAACAAGUGCAAGAGUAACUGCUUGCA
rnacentral:rRNA from 1 species